rnacentral:rRNA from 1 species
AGUGAACGCUGGCGGUAGGCCUAACACAUGCAAGUCGAACGGCAGCACAGUAAGAGCUUGCUCUUACGGGUGGCGAGUGGCGGACGGGUGAGGAAUACAUCGGAAUCUACUUUUUCGUGGGGGAUAACGUAGGGAAACUUACGCUAAUACCGCAUACGACCUACGGGUGAAAGCAGGGGAUCUUCGGACCUUGCGCGAUUGAAUGAGCCGAUGUCGGAUUAGCUAGUUGGGGGGGUAAGGGCCCACCAAGGCGACGAUCCGUAGCGGGUCUGAAAGGAUGAUCAGCCACACUGGAACUGAGACACGGUCCAGACUCCUACGGGAGGCAGCAGUGGGGAAUAUUGGACAAUGGGCGCAAGCCUGAUCCAGCCAUACCGCGUGGGUGAAGAAGGCCUUCGGGUUGUAAAGCCCUUUUGUUGGGAAAGAAAAGCAGCAGGUUAAUACCCCGCUGUUCUGACGGUACCCAAAGAAUAAGCACCGGCUAACUUCGUG